rnacentral:rRNA from 1 species
UACGUAGGGGGCUAGCGUUGUCCGGAAUCAUUGGGCGUAAAGAGCGUGUAGGCGGCCCGGUAAGUCCGCUGUGAAAGUCGGGGGCUCAACCCUCGAAUGCCGGUGGAUACUGUCGGGCUAGAGUGCGGAAGAGGCGAGUGGAAUUGCUGGUGUAGCGGUGAAAUGCGUAGAUAUCAGGAAGAACACCGGUGGCGAAGGCGGCUCGCUGGGCCAGUUCUGACACUCAUCCGCGAAAGCGUGGGGAGCAAACAGG